UGAGUAACACGUAUGCAACCUGCCUGCCACAGCCGGAUAAUCGGGAGAAAUUCCGUCUAAUACGGCAUAAUGCAUCGACGGGACAUCCUGUUGGUGCCAAAGGUUGAUUCCGGGUGGCGGAUGGGCAUGCGUCGCAUUAGUUAGUUGGCGGUGUAACGGACCACCAAGACGACGAUGCGUAGGGGUUCUGAGAGGAAGGUCCCCCACACUGGUACUGAGACACGGACCAGACUCCUACGGGAGGCAGCAG
rnacentral:rRNA from 1 species